rnacentral:rRNA from 1 species
GAGUUUGAUCAUGGCUCAGGACGAACGCUGGCGGCGUGCCUAACACAUGCAAGUCGAACGAGAAUCUUUUGGUUGAUUUCUUCGGAAUGAAAUCAAGAGAGGACAGUGGCGGACGGGCGAGUAACGCGUGAGUAACCUGCCCAUAAGAGAGGGAUAGCACUUGGAAACGGGUAGUAAUAUCUCAUAUUGAUAUUGGACCGCAUGGUCUGAUAUUGAAAGAUUUAUCGCUUAUGGAUGGACUCGCGUCUGAUUAGCUAGUUGGGGAGGUAACGGCUCACCAAGGCGACGAUCAGUAGCCGAA